UACGGAGGAUGCGAGCGUUAUCCGGAUUUAUUGGGUUUAAAGGGUGCGUAGGCGGAUCGUUAAGUCAGUGGUCAAAUUGAGGGGCUCAACCCCUUCCCGCCAUUGAAACUGGCGAUCUUGAGUGGAAGAGAAGUAUGCGGAAUGCGUGGUGUAGCGGUGAAAUGCGUAGAUAUCACGCAGAACCCCGAUUGCGAAGGCAGCAUGCCGGCUUCCGACUGACGCUGAAGCACGAAAGCGUGGGGAUCGAACAGG
rnacentral:rRNA from 1 species